AUAUGCCCCAGCAGACUUCGUAGUGGUAGAGAUCGGAAAUGAUGAGAGAGCACCCAUCAUCUUAGGGUGGCCAUUCUUGAACACCACGGGAGCUAUCAUCUACGCUAGUGCUGCCAAGAUCAGUUUCUACGUCAAAGGGAAGAAUGAGACAUUUUUCUUCAAGAACAAGACUACACAAAUUCCAAAUCAAUCCAGACGUGAGUCAAGGAAGAGGACCAACAGGAGAAACAGGAACAAGCAAGUGUGGACCGAGUCAGCUAAGAUGGUCACUGUAGUUCAUGGAGGCCAAGAUCACCAACUUAAGUCACCGUUUUGACCAAGAAGGACGAACCAGGAAUGCCAAGCAUUUACUGCUCCAUAAAUGGAUACAACUUCUACAAGACGAUUUGCGACACCGGAUCGGGCGUCAACAUAAUGGCCGCAGUCACCUAUCGGCUCUUCUUCGGAACCAUGCCACUAAGACCAACAUACAUUCAGCUCCAGAUGGCAGAUCAGACAUUUCGAGAAGUUAAAGGAAUAGUAAUUGAUGUCCCAGUCAAAAUAGACGAUCACUUUGUCUACAUAGACUUUCAAGUUAUUGACAUGGGAGAAGAUGAAUACGAUCCACCCAUCAUCCUUGGAAGACCGUUCCUCAGCACCGUCAAAGCAAUUAUCUACAUUGGAACCGGAGAAGUCCAUAUGCACUUCCCCUCAAAGAAGGUACGCCGUUAUUUUAUUGACCCUGACUAUAUCGUUGAAGAAUCUAAGUAGGUCAGAAAGAGACGCAACCGCAACCAGAGGAGGCAGAUCAUCAAGGAUGGAUGGGCAGACUAUGAAGGUGAAGUUGUAAGAUCAGAAGACGUUGAGUUUAAACAGAAUUAUCCAGAGGAGAUUGAAGCACAGAGUCGGGUAUGGAAAAUGAAGAUAACUAUACAUGAAGAAGAGGCGCUGCCGGAAGUACCGACUACGCCACCCAACGAACCUCAGGACGAUUAAGAGAAUGGAGAGUCCCGUUCGGAGGACUUAAAAACACCGAACGCCUUGCCAAGAGGUAAACUUGGUAGUUAUCCUUUCCCUUUCAAUUAUUUAAAUAGUUUACUUAGUUAAUUAAGUACACACUAUCCUAAAAAGAAAAUAAAAAUAUGAAAAACUGUAAGCCCCAUGUGAGUAGACGAGUGGCAUAAAACCCAUAAGUACAUUCACUGUGGUGGCAUAAAAAUAAAAUAAAUAUUUUUCUGCUUUAUAAAAACAAAAAUAUAAAAACAGGGAGUAAUAAUUAUUGAGGAGUCUCAACAUAAUAAAGGCUAGAUAUUUAUGCUAACACUUAAUCAGUUCCACAAGCUUUGUUGUCUAUUUGAGCUCCACAGAAUUUACGAAUCAAGAAGACUAGCAGACGGAGGACAUUCUAAUUGCUGUCAGAAUACUGCUGACUUUCAAAUACACCUCUACCACCUGCUAGCUACAUCAAGAGAAAUUACGUCAAAAUUCAGCUUGGGGGAGAGCACCCCCAUUUAUCUCACUAAGUAUUUCUAUCUAUCUUUAUACUUAUAUUAUAUUAGAAUAUUAAAAUACAUAAAUAUAAAAAAAACCAAAUAAAGAGUUUGUGCUUAUAUAUAUAUGUCUUUUGCUUAGUAUGUUUAAUAAAUAAAUAAAGUGGCUAUGCUAAUCUGUAUCUAAAUAAAACUUAAGCAUGGAUAUGAUGAAUAGUUGCUCUGCCUAAUUUGCACAUUUUAAGUUCUCUCUCAAGUUUAGAUAUAACUGUUAUAAUUUAAGGCUUGCUCUAGACCCAAACUUGUGGGAUGAAAACUUGAUCUGAAGUCUAAGUUGUUAACGGAUAUGAUAUGGGAAGGUUGAGCUGCUGUUUAUCUGUUCCUAGAGAUGCUAGAAUUUUGGAGAAUUUUAUUUUUGAAAAUCUUUAAAAUGUUGCAUGAUGAGUUCCUGUAUGAUGAGAGUUUAAAUUCCUACCACAGCCAUAUAUACAUGCUUGCUAGACUUUGAGCCACACAUUUAAUAUUUACUGCUUAUGAGCAUUGAGUGUGGUCAAGCUGUGUAGACCCUUAGGAGCUUGUCAUGUGGUUAAAUCAAGAUUUCACUUGCACGUUCACUCAUAUAUGCUACUUCUACUCCGGAAGUACCAUCCACAUAUAUCCAUCCAUUUCCAUCUCCAGAAUGACCCAAAAAUAUUCUACUCCUAAUCCGGGAGAGAAUAACCAAAAAUAUUUUUGUUUCCCCUUGUGAAAUAAAUGUUCAAGUUAUCUUGUUACUACCACUUGCUAUAUUAUCUCAAGAGAUGAAUGCUCUGAAAAAAAAAGAAAAAAAGAUACGAGGAAAUAAAAAGGAGCAAGUGCUCGGAACCUCGAAAGAAUAGAAAAAGUGAGACGAGAGGUAAAAAUGGACAAGUGUCCGACAGUAGAAUUAGGGGUACAAGAUACCCACCUGAGAGGAAAGAAAAAGAAGAGCAUCUCAUUCUCCUCAUAAAGUUUCAAAAAGCAAGAAAGGUAUGUAUUCCCUCAAAGAGCAAAGUAGAAUUAGACUUCCACCACCAUUGUUAUCACCAUUAUCAUCAUACACCAUUCAUUCGCCACACAUGCACAUCUUGAUUUGACUUAUUGAUUUGUUUCUUUGGAUCCAUGGUUUGACUAUGCAACAAAUGUCUUGUAAUUAUGUAUAUUUUUAUCUCCCACCUAUGAGCUCCAGAUAUUAAAGCCUUGUUAGAGUAGGGUGAGAGAGAAGACAAUGUCACUAUGCUUCAUACCACAAAUACUACCUAUCUUGAGAGAAGGCAUAUACCAUCACUGCCUUGGUAAGGAUCCAAAAAUACCACAAAAGAGAGACCUGAGAGAAUCAUACAAGGAAUCUCUGAGUUUUAUUUGAAAAUCUGCAAAAACCCCAGAGCUAUAGCUGAUCAAGAAUGAGAGACAUGGCACUUGGCUAGACUGUUCUAUCUUUUAACUACUCAAGACAGAAGUGACGGUUACAAGUCCCAUGGUGAAGGUAAAGUAAGUAAGUUUUAAGUCUUGACAGUUUACUCUAACUCAGAGAUGAGAUCUUAUUUAAGAGCAUAUGUACCAUCAAUUUUUAAAGAUUUUGCAAUUAUUUCUGAUCCAUAGCUGAGUCUAUCCUUGCUCAGGAACGAGCAAGAGGUAAACUUGGGGGAGUUUGUUGACGGUCCUUAAGUAUUCCACGAGUUAAUAAAUAAAGAAAAGGAUCCAAAUGAAAUCAAAAUCUAGACUUAGGGUUUUACCUGACAGAAUUCCACGAGUUUUGGUGUUUGUCUAUUUCUGCAGGGGGUUAUCAGGAAAUAUGAAAGAAAGGCCCACACGUCGGGAUUACGUAAAGAUAUUAACGUGCCGCGCAAUUAUCUUACAUCUAGAAGACUCCAGAAGCCACGAGACCGAAGCGGAGGCGAAACGGGGCCUGACCCUGGGCGCCCGCCCAGUUGGUCAGGGCGCCCGCCCUGCCCCUGAGUCCAAUCAGGACUCUGCUUUGCGGGAGAUUUCCACCGACCAAAAGGAUGAAUCUAAACCAUACAAUCUAUGUCGGUUUGAUCCAAUGGCCCAUAUUCACUUGAAGGGACUAUAAAACCAGACCCCCUGGCCCCUGGAGGAGAGAGCCUCUCAACCCUAAUUCAUUGUUCCAUCAAGGGAGAAGAAGCCUCUGAUCAAGAUUAGAGCCACCACAUCAAUUAGACAUCUAGAUUAGCAUAGCUACAUAGGAUUAGAACUAGAAGGAGUCAAUCUUCGAUUGGUUUUCGGAUCUGUCAAGAGGAUUCUUGGUAAUUCUCUAAUUGUGCUUCUAAUUGCUUUCUAAUUAUCUUUGUUCUUCAAUAUUAUGAAUAUGACUUUGUUCUACUUCAAUAUAUUGCUUAUGACUUUGCUCUACUUGCUUAUAUUCAAGAUUAUAUUGUUCUUAGUUUAUCAUAGUUAUGUACUUGGCUUAGUUAGAUUGGAUCUAUAUACAUGCUUAGGAUCGUAUAGCGUUUAUCCAUCGGAUCCAUGGGUAAAUGAUAGAUAUUGUGUAGGCGUGGUGCUUAUACCGUAUUUAUCUGUGAUUGUACCCAAUAUGCCAGAUUGUGGGGUAGUUCGUGAUAGUGACAGCUUCAUUGAUUCUUAUAUAGUCCCCCUCUCGUGUAUUGGGCUGGCAGAGCAACAUUAUUACAGGGGAGUGAUUGCUAUGUUUCUCAUAUUCCUUGCUAAUAUCACUAUGCAUGGGCGUAGUCUUGUCUCACAAUGAUUGCUAAGUAUGCUUGCACUAACUAUGAUAUGCUAGACUAUAUAGUUAAGAAUAACUUAGGGAAUAUUCUUGUAGUUCAUUCUAAUACCAUGCUAAUGACUUUCUAGAGUAUCUAAUUGAGGUGCUUAUCAUAUUUAUUAUGUGGCUAGAUCAGAUUAAUUAUCCUUGUCACUAUUAUUAUUUCAUAUAUCUUUUAUGUGACACUUAUCCCUGUAUGAAGAGUUAGAUAAAUGUUCUCAAUUAUACAUGCAAUGAUAGAUGCUCAAUCUUAUAUUCUAUUCUGUAAUCAAUAGUGAUGAUUGCUAAUCCCUUCCCAGUGGUAAAAAUAUAAAAAACGAUAUCUGGAAUACUUCCCGGUUAAAAUGCUACAUCGGUAUUAAUCUGUGCGCUUGCAGAUCCCAUUCAUUAUUUAUUUAGAAGAGCAAUUGCAUAUUUCAAUACCGUGUCUCUUAUAUCAUGCUGGGGAUGACAACUUGGCUUAAGUGGUGUGAGGGAUAGGUUUGGCAUUUUUGGCACCGUUACUAGAUUUAGAGAACUUAGUCUACUUUUGGUAAAUGAUGUUAAGAAUACCCAACAGUGAGUUUAUCUCAGGACCUCCCAGGUUGAUAUUGAAAGUUUUCCUGUAGGGGUUAGUCCAACAAAAUAUCCAAUAUCUACUAUAGCAUACUAUCGGCGCAAAGAUCAACCUAGACACCAUGUCUAAUUUGAUUUAGGAGGGCAUUUUAACCUAAGCAUCAUGCUUAAUUUAAACUCCCUUGGAAGUAAGAUCAUCAGCCCUAAACUAAGCACCAUGCUUAAUUAAGAGAUAAAUGAAACUACUCCAAGCCUAGACAUAUACUAAAGCAAAUAAAGGUAGUAUGAGAGCAUUUAUAGAGAUCUACUCAAGUGGAGAUGAAGUAGUGUGAUUAGUAUUUAAUAAAUUGAGCAUGUCUCAAAGGUAGGGACAACCAACAUAGCAACAUAGCAAAGGAUGUUUUUAUGUAAAGUACUACCCCAAGCUUGAAUUUUGCAAAAUUCAAGUUUGGAUGAAUUUAAUUCAAUGUUGCAUGAUGAUUGGUUGGACAUACCUUAUGCUUGUCAUUCAUCCGAUAUUCUUGCUCCAAUCCUGGAAAGGUUAGUGACAAGAAUACCCGAAGGAAUAUUUUUACAAUUAUCCUUAUAUGCUCAACACACAAGGUAAUGUUGCAAAUAAUUAAAAGCUCAUGUUACAAUCUGAUCAGUGCUUGUUUUAGGACACUAAGCUUGUCCUUGGGAAACCAUUAAUUUAAAGUGGUUUCCCCUCCAACACUGACCUAUAUCAAGAUUAAUUCAACGAGAACUGCAAUAUUUAAUAUAGACAUAUGCAUCGACAACCGCCCUUUUAAGGUUUUUAUAAAUAGAAAGGAUGAGGGGGUUGGAGAUCUCGAAUGUGGUGAUGUUGGAAAAACCAAUGGAUUGGGAAGAUGUUGCAUAUGAGCAUGGAGAAAAUGAAGUGGCUAUAAAAUAAAUUCCAUGCUCAUUAAUGCUUAGAGUGAAAUCCAUGUGGUAUGGUGAAAAUGAUAAGGUGAGUGUGGUAAAAAAAGGAAAAGAAAAAGGAUACACGGACGACUUGGUUCGAAACUAGCACAACUACCGUUCCCCGGCAACGGCGCCAGAAAGCUUGUUGGGUAUUUUAAACGCAAACAGAAAAAUCCGCAAGCGCACGGAUACCGAUGUAGCCUUCACCCGGGAGUAUUCCAGAGUAUCGAUUUUCCACAGAGAACGUGAGUGUACUAAUUAAGAUCCAAGAUCGCCCUUUGGUGGGAAGAGAGGAAGUUUCCUGAGAGUUCUCUAGUUGAUCUAAGAAUCAAGAAUUACUUCAAAGAUUAUUUAUAUCGGGACAUCAGAGCACUAACCAUAGAAAGAGAUGAGAAGGGGGCUAGGAAGGUCUGACUACGGUCCUACAAACACCGAUCCGAACGUGGUGGAAUACGUCGACCGUUAGGGCUGUCACUACCCUAAGGCUACCACAACAAUCCACAGGAUUGGGUGCAAUUCCAGGUAAUUGCAAGACUAAACACCACGUCUAAUCUAUUAAUUACUACCCUAAUGUUAUAAAGACUAGAGCACUUGAUGCAAGCAGGAAUCCAAUAAAUAACUUGAAUGUAAAUAAAAGUAAUUAAAGAACUCAGGAAUUGUGAAUUGAAGAACCUAGAGAACGAUGAAGAACGAACCAGUUGCUGCAAAAGUACAAUGUUAAGGAAGAUCCGACAGAUCCGGCUCCUCCUCCGCUCUCCUCUUCUCUCUCCCUAUUUUCUAGAUUACAACUAGAACUAGAGGAACUAGAACUAGAACUAGAUGAACUACAACUAGAUCUAGAUGAACUAGAGGUAGAACUAGAAGAACUAGAGGGAUCCUCUCUACUUGGAUGAAGAAUUGAAACCCUAACUUUGAUUCUGUAGAAGAGGUAUGAUCUCCAGGGGCCAGGGGGUAUGGUUUUAUAGUCACUUCAAGUGAAUCUGGGCCGUUGGAUCAAACCAACAUUGAUUGAACGGUUAUCCUUGAUCCUUUAGGUCGGUGGAGCAAUAUCCCGAAAGAGAGUCCUGAUUGGACUCUGGUUGACAGCGGGCGCCCAGGAGAGGAGGGCGGGCUCCCUAUCCCUGAGUCCUCUCGGCCUCCGCUUUGGUCCCGUGGCUUCUGGAGUCUUCUAGAUGAUAGAAAAUUGUGCGGCACGUUAAUAUCUCUAUGUAAACCCAACGUGUGGGCCUUUCUUCCGUAUUUCCUGAUAACCCCCUGCAGAAAUAGACAAACACCAAAACUCGUGGAAUUCUGUUAGAUAAAACCCUAAGUCUAAGUGUUGGUUGCAUUUGGAUCCUUUUCUAUAAUUAGUUGAUGGUUAAAUAUGAGCAUUAAGGACCAUCAACAGUCUCCUAGCUUUCAUAUCCUUCAGAAAGAGAAAAUACCAGUUCCUAGACAAGAAGAAGAAGUUUCGAUAGCCAGAUCACAACCACUACGAUCCCAAACUUUAGCUAUCGAUCUUAAACCAUCAAUACCCCAAAAUUCUCCAAGGGAGGAAGGAAUUCCGACCUUAAAUCUUUCAGAUACUGAUGGUUUAGACUUCUGGUUCCAUAAGAGACCUUCAAGCAGGGAUAAUUCAAUUCCUUGCAAUAAUGGUUCUCUUAGAGAAUGUCCUGGUUCCUGUUAUGAAGAAGUCGAGGAUGACAUAUCAAGUGAAGGAGAGCUAAGCCAUAUAGAAAAUUCUAUCUGCUUCCCUUCCAUGUUCACAAGUUCUAAAUCCAUCCUUGACCUUAGAGAUCCCUCUUAUCCCUCUUCUUUUCACUCUCACGAUGAUCCUAGCAAUUCACCAAGAUGACCAAACCAUAGGAGUCAUGAAGACCAUAAGUUUGGCAUGUCAAGUAAUGCCAUAGAAGGAGAGCUAAGCUAUAUAGAAGAUUCUAUCAGCUCCCCUUUCCUGAUCACAAGUUCUAAAUGGCUAGAAUGUGUAGAAUGGAUGGAUAAGGAAGAAGCCUUAAUGGAUUCUGACUUUGGCUCAAUUUCAAAUGGUGAGUUCUUGACUACCUUUGAAGAUGAGAUUCAUCCAACUAUAGAAGAGAGCAUAGGUGAGACCAAUCUAGGAGAAACUCCGAACAUUUAGAUUGGAGACGAAGAUAACAUUAAUGAGCAUGGAAUUUAUUUCAUAGCCAUUUCAUUUACUCCAUGCUCAUAUGCAACAUCUUCCCAAUCUAUUGGUCUCUCCAACAUCACCACAUUUGAGAUCUCCAACCCCCUCUUCCUUUCUAUUUAUAAAAACUUUAAAAGGGCGGUUGUCGAUGCAUAUGUCCGUAAUAAAUAUUGCAGAUCUUGUUGAAUUGAUCUUGAUAUAGGUCAGUGUUGGAACGGAAACCACUUCACCGACAUAAAUUGAUGGUUUCCCAAGGACAAGCUUAGUGUCCUAAAAUAAGCACUGAUUAGAUCGUAACAUGAGCUUUUUGCAAUAAUACCUGGUGUAUUGAGCAUAUAAGGACAAUUGUAAAAAUAUUCCUUCGGGUAUUCUUGUCACUAACCUUUCUAGGAUUGGAGCAAGAAGAUCAGAUGAAUGACAAGCACAAGGUAUGUCCAACCAAUCUUCAUACAACAUUGAAUUGAAUUCAUCCAAACUUGAAUUUUGCAAAAUUCAAGCUUGGGGGAGUACUUUACAUAAAAACAUCCUUUGCCAUGUUGCUAUGUUGGUUGUCCCUACCUUUGAGACAUGCUCAAUUUGUUAAAUACUAAUCACACUACUUCAUCUCCACUUGAGUAGAUCUCUAUAAAUGCUGUCAUGAUACCUUUGUCUAUUUACUAGUAAGUGUUAGUUUGGAAGUACUGCACAUACUUCUAUUGGCUUUUAAAUUAAGCAUGGUGCUUAGGUUAAACAGCCUUCCUUAAUCUGAUUAGACAUGGAGUCUAGUUCGGUAUUGAACUAAAAACUGUUUGCGUAGACAUUGGUAUAUUUUUGUCGAACUAACCCCUGCAGAAAAACUUUCAAUAUCGAUUUGGGAAGUCCUGAGAUAAACUCACAUCAAAGAUGAAGAGAGUGACACAUGAAGUUUAACAAUUUGCACAAGAAGGACAUAGCUCAUUCAUCAUACAUAGAUGAUCCAUGGAAGGAGACAAAGUACAUAAACAAGAUACACAACCACUACGAAAGGAAAGCUUCCACAAGGUGAUACUAUACCAUCACUCUUCAAGUAAGGUAACAUCUUAAGAUAUCUGACUAUCACUUUUAUAAGCUUCACCUUGGUUCUGGCGUUCACAUAAAUAAAGAGACAAACAUGUAUGAUUUAUAACUCCAAAUUAACCAACCCAACUGAUUCAACAUGUUUAGUCCUUCCACUUUUGUGAUCCCACACUCCUAAUCAUAUGAGCUACAAUAUUGCACAUUCAAUCUUUGAGAGAUAUAAAGAAAAAGACAUAUACAUAGAUAGAUUAUCUUUCCAUAAGGUUGAGCGAUCUGAUCUGACAAAUGUUUUAAAUACUACACUCAUGAUCUUAUUAUCCAUCACCUUUGUCUUGUUCACUAUGCUUAAGGUUAGAGAAGAACAAAUACACUUUUGGUUCUGUUGGUGUUUUCCACCAACAGGGCCCAUGCACUUGAUAUCUGCCUUGUCUCUAUGAGCAGGACACAUUUUGAGAAACAUGGAGGAGUUUUACAACUCUCAGAUUCCACCAAGUGAAGGACCUGGAUCUACGAGCAUAAACACACUGAGCAAGAUACUGCCAACGCCGCACUUUGAACUACUAGGCAAAUGAAGAACAUGGGUGACACCAUAUCAAGAGGUGCAGACAUCAAGGUCCACACCUGAAUCAAAUGACGCACCUGAAGUAUGAACACGGUGAGGAGUCUUGUUCAGAAGACUUAAAACAUUGAACCCUUGCCGAAAGGUAAAAUCGGUAGUUAUCCAUAUUUAUCCUUUCUGCAUUCCCUUUUCCCUUUAAUUAUUUACUUUCCUUAAAUGGCUUGUUAGUUAAUAAUGCUAUCUUGAAAAGAAAAUAAAAAAGUUAGUAAGCCCCAUAUGAGUAUGCUCGUGGCAUAAAACCCAUAAGUACAUUCACUGUGGUGGCAUAAGAAUAAAAUAAAUAUAUUCCUGUCCUAUAAAAAUGAAAAUAUAAAAAUAAGAUUGUGAUCCCACUAAAGAGAAUAAUAUUUAUUAGAGGAAGCUCAACAUGAUAAAGGCUAAGAGAUUUUAUGCUAACACUUAACCAGUUCCACAAAGCUGUGUUGUCUAUUUGAGCUCCACAGAAUUCAAGGAUCAAAUAAGACUAGCAAACGGAGGACAUCCUAAUCGCUGUUAGGGUGCUGCCGACAUUCAAAUACACCUCCGUCACCUGCUAGCUACAUCAGAAGAAAUUAUGUCAAAAUCCAGCUUGGGGGAGAGCACCCCCAUUUAUCUAGCUAAGUGUUUCUACUCAUGUUUAUACUUUACUCAAAUAAUAAAAAGAUGCAUAAUCAUAAAAAACCCAAAUAAAGAUUUUAUGCUUAUAUAUAUCUUUGCUUAGUUUGCUAAAUAAAUAAAUAAAGUUUGCUAUGAAGCCUCAUGAUAAGCUCUCACAUGGAAAUGAUGAAUAGUUGCUCUGCCAUGACUAGUUCUCAAAAUAGAAUUCUCUCUCAAGUUUAGGCAUGAUUGUUAUGAAUUAAGUUUUGCUCUAAACCUGAACUUGUGGGAAGAGUACUUGAUCUAAAGUAUAAGUCGUUAACAAAUAUGAUAUGAGAAGGUUGAGUUGCUAUUUAUCUGUUGUUAGAGAUGCUAGAAUUCUGGAGAAUUUUAUCUUUGAAAAUCAUUAAAAUGUUGCAUGAUCAGUUCCUGUAUGAUGAGAGUUUAAAAUCCUACCACAGCCAUAUAUACAUGCUUAUUAGACUAUGAACCAUACAUUUACUUUUUACUACUUAUGAGCAUUGAGUGUGGUCAAGUUGUGUAGACCCUUAGGAGCUUGUCAUGCGAUUAAAAUCAAGAUUCACUUGUACAUUCACUCAUACAUGCUGCUUCUACUUCGGAAGUACGCAUCCGCAUACAUCCAUUCAUUUCCAUCUCCAGAUUCACCCAAAAUUAUUCUACACCUAUCCAGGAGAGAAUAGCCAAAAACAUUAUCCUAUCCCUGUUAUUCCCCGUGAAAUAAAUGAUCUUGAUAUUUUGGUUACUACCACUUGCUACAUCAUUCUAGGAGGGUGAGUGCUCUGAAAAAAGAGUGAAUACGAGGAAAUAAAAAGGGGCAAGUGCCCAGAACCUCGAAGAAAAAGAAAAAGUGAGACGAGAGGUAAAAAUGGACAAGUGUCCGACAGUAGAAUUAGGGGUACAAGAUACUCACCUGAGAGAAAAGAAAAAAUAUAUAGAGCAUCUCAUUUCCUUCAAAAAGCUUCAAAGUGCAAGAAAGGUAUGUAUCCCCUCAAAAGAGCAAAAGUAGAAUUAGAAUUUCACCAUUGUUUUCACCAUUAUCACCAUCAUCACCGUACACCAUUCAUCCGCCACACAUGCACAUCUUGAUUUGACUUAUUGACUUGUUUCUCUGGAUCCAUGGUUUGACUAUGCAAUAAAUGUCUUGUAAGUAUGUAUUAGCUGUCUCCCACCUAUGAGCUCCAGAUAUCAAAACCUUGUUAGAGUAGGGUGAGAGAGAAGGCAAUAUCAUUAUGCCUCAUACCACAAAUACCACAUACUUUGAGAGAAGGCAUAUACCAUUACUGCCUUGGAAAGGAUCCAGAAAUACCACAAAAGAGAGACUAGAGAGUGUCAUACAAGGAAUCUCUGAGUUUUAUUUGAAAAUCUACAAAAAACCAGAGCUAUAGUUGAUCAAAGAACAACAGACAUGGUGCUUAACUCGACCGUUCUAUCUUUUAACUACUCAAGACACAAGUGACGGUUGCAAGCCCCAUGGUGGAAGGUAAUAUGAGUAAUUUUAAAUCUUAACAGUUUACCCUAACCUAGAGAUGAGAUCUUGUUUAAAUGCAUGUGUACCUUUAAGGCAUAAAACCACUGUAGAAACUCUUGAGUCCAUCCUUGCUUAGGGACGAGCAAGAGGUAAGCUUGGGGGAGUUGUUGACGGUCCUUAAGUAUCAAAUUUAAUCAUCAAAUAAAUAAAGAAAAGGAUCCAAAUGCAACCAACACCCAGACCUAGGGUUUUAUCUAAUAGAAUUCCACAAGUUUUGGUGUUUGUCUAUUUCUGCAGGGGGUUAUCAGGAAAUAUGGAGGAAAGGCCCACAUGUCGGGUUUACAUUGAGAUAUUAAUGUUCCGCACAAUUUUCUAUCAUCUAGAAGACUCCAGAAGCCACGGGAACAAAGCGAAAGCCGAGAGAGCUCAGGGACAGGGCGCCCGCCCAAGUCCUUAGGGCGCCCGCCCACCUAUUUCGGCCAAUCACGCUCAAUCUCGCGGAUUACGCUCCACCGACCUAAAGGAUCAAGAAUAACCGUUCAAUCAAUGUUGGUUUGAUCCGACGGCCCAGAUUCACUUGAGGGGACUAUAUAACCAGACCCCCUGGCCCCUGGAGGAGGCACCCCUUGAUCAUUAUUCAUUAUUCAUAGACAGAGCAAAAGCUAGGGUUUGGAGAUGAGAGCUCUCCUCUCAUCUCUAAACUAGAGUAGAUCUAGAUAGUAGCAAGAUGGAGAGCGAGGGGGGAUUGGAGGAGAGGCCGGCCUGUCGGUUCUUCCUCCGGUUGUACUUCGUCAUGAUCAAGCCCUAAUCAAGCUUGCUCAUGGGAUGACUCUGGUAAUCUACUUCUCAUUCAUUAUGCAAUUACUAAUCAUGUAUGUUCUGGUUCACAACUCUUUUGAGUACUUUAAUCUAUAGGAUGCUAUAGGUUAGAGUUGUAGUAUAGGUGUAAGCGUGGUGCUUAGACCUAGAUUACUUGUGGAUAUCCCCUGUCUAGCUGGAUCGUGUGGUAGGCCGCGUAGGUGACAGUUACGUUGGUCCCCUAUAGUCCACCUCUUGUUAGCAGGACGGGUAGGGUUUAUCAGCCUAUGGAUAAGCAUCCUUUGUGGUGUAUUCUUAUCACGUGGUUCGUCCCAGACAUAGACAUGCCCCUUUGAAGUAGAGAAACCAUAGUUAUCCUCUCUAUUCUGCUACCAUCGCCCAUAUACUAGAUUGCUCUACUCUCUAUUCCCAUAUUAUCACCCAUUGUUAUCUUACCUUUAAUAUUGUUCUUAUUCAAUUCUACCAUCUUUCCUAUUUAUACUUAUCUAUCUAUCUAGGUUAAGUUAGAGCAUAGUUGGUUCUCCCAUUUCCCUGUGGAUACGAUAAAACCUUUGACCGGGUAAAAGCUAUAACGGUAUCCGUGCGCUUGCGGAUUUAUCUGUGUGUGUAUAAAUACCAUAGUACACUCUAGUGCCAUAUUGGGGAUGACAACCAAGUAUUCAAGUGGUGUUAGCAAGUGUCAACAUCUAGAUUCUAUAAGCUUCCCUAAUAGAACAGUAGAUCAUCCUUACCAAGGUUAGAAAGAGAUUAUGGUUGUAGUCUUCUCUAUAUAUCACUCACAACGAGAAACAUUCUUUGUAGCCUAAAGGUUAGUAGUAAUAGACUGGGUUAGUCAGAUGCACCCUUUCUCCUAGUGGUAAAAAAAUAAAUACGAUACUCUGGAUUACCUCUCGGGUGAAGUGCUCACCGAUAUCCGUGCGCUUACGGAUCAAUUUCUUAUUGCGUUCCCAAAUAUCAACAGAGACAAGGUCCCGACCCCCCUCUAGCUGAAGAAGAUAGGGCCCCAACUCCAGCCCCAGCGGAGGCUUCCACGCCUGAGGGCUCCCCUAGCCGGGGUAAGGGUCCUAUGAUAGCCAUUACCGUAGCUGGGGGUAGCGCGGAGGGCGAGGAGGCCCAGGCGGUCUCCGAUGACGAAGUGGAGGAAAUCCAGGGGGGUCCCCACGAUGGUCGCCAACAUGUUUACAUGUGGCGCCAGCGUGGGGACCACUGGGCCGGCCACGAGGAGAUCGCCGAGACCGAGGAGGCGGCGAGGGUAUAGCGCGCUGCUAAGUGUCUCGUUGAUGAAGUUAAGGUGAGUGGUCUUAUAUUCUGCUGGAGUAUGUAUAUACUAUUGCUUGUUCACUUUGUGAUAUGUAUAUUUCUCACAGGGUGCAAUGAAAACAGCGAAGUACCGAAAAAGUUGCUUCAACCAAAUUGAAGGUGUGGUCGCCGAAAACAAGGCCUUAACUGCAGAGUUGGACCGCCUUCGGCUGGAGGCCGAAAGGGAGGCAGUCGAGAAGGCGGCUCAGGAAGAGCGUCUUUUGGACCUGAAUCGGCGGCUAGCCGAUAAGGACUGUGAGAAGAGGGGUAAGUCGAGUGAUCCGAGCAGUUGCAAUUAUCUGUGUGGUCGGUUUUGACGCCGAGAAACAAUUGUUACUUCAGGUCUGGAGGAGGAGAUCGAACGUCUUCGAAAAGAGAGGGACCAGCUUGACCAAGAACGUACCAGUGCGCUAGAGACCGAGUGCAAGGUUGGCGAGGAGCUGAAGAAUAGGAAUCGGGAGCUAGCUAGUAAGAGCUGUUUCAUCCUUUUCGACCACGCAGCAGUUCUCUCUCUUUUUUAUACUGCCGUAGCAUGUUGCUGACUGUUUGUUUGAUUUUUCUUGAAAACUUUUGCAUAGUGCUUAAAGCCAACACCAAGAAGCACCUCGAUGAGCUGGUCAAGGAAUGGGACUCCUAGAAGAUGAACUGCAUCAAGCUCUGGAAAGGAGUUGCCCCAGUACUUGACCUAAUCAGCCCCGAGCUACCCGAGGACCAGCCCCACGUGCCAAAAUUGACCCCUGUUGAGAAGGCGCAGCAAGCAUGGGGCUAGCUUCAGCAGUUCAUCAAGUAUGCCAGGGAGUUUGCCGGAGCGCACAUCCUCACCAUGUUACGUGCUCACUACCCCCUCGUCGAUCUGUCUCGGCUAGAGAUGCGAUAUCUGAAGGAGGUUGGUCCAAAGGAGGCAGAUGACCAUCGCGUCAGCCUGCUCGACCUAUCAUCGACGGUGAUCGGCGAUAUAAACCUCUGCGGGACGUCCACCCCCCCCCCCGCGAUCAGCCGAGAUCAGAUAGGUCGGCUAGGGAGUUGUCAGGGGCGUCGAUAGUAGGAGAUGGGCGGUCGACGCUUGCGAUCUCGACCAGCCAGGCGCCGGUGGCCCCGACCCCUUCGGCGGGACGAGAGAGACGUGCGGGUGAUUAGCCCGAGGAGUAGGUUCGUAGAGUAGUCUCUAGGAGUAGACUAGAAAUGGCCCAGAGGGGUGUUUAUUGUAAACUUUGUAUGUAAAGUUUGUAAUAAAGUCCGAAUUUUGAGAACCAUGGUUUUGAGCGCUGUGAAUAAAUUUGCUUGAGUGAUGUAUCACUGAAUCAUGUUGAUUGCCCUUGAGGAGCUUGUCAAGGAAAGUUAUUGUAGCACUUGUCGAGUGUUCUGCAUAUGUAAAAGUAUAUAGCAAAAAGGCAAACUUUAUUAUUAUUCAUCAAAAAAGAUUUACAAGUAAAAUGUACUGAAACUUAGGGAUAGAAGCGUCGUAGUUUGUCUAUGUGCCAGGAGUUGGGUAGGUGUGUUCCAUCUAGGUACGCCAGUCUGUAAGAUGUAGGGCGUGUAACUUCGGCGACCACAAAAGGUCCCUCCUAGGGUGUAGAUAACUUGUGCAUUCCCUCCUCACUUGUUUUCCAUUUGACUACCAGAUCACCGAACAUGAAGGAGCGGUCUUUGACGUUCUUAUUGUGGUAUCGUCUAAUGGCCUUGAGAUACUUUGCUGUUCGAAGGUAGGAAGUCAGGCAUCUCUCUUCUAUGUAGUUGAUUUCGAGUUCUCUGGCGAGGUCUACUGAAGACUGGUCGAAAUGUUCGACUCUUGGAGAUCCAAAGGCUACGUCCGAGGGGAGCACUGCCUCGACCCCAUAAACCACAAAAUAGGGGGAUACAACCAUGUUUCGACUAGGCUGUGUUCAGAGACCUCACACCACGGCUGGUAACUCUUUCAUCCACCAUCCUGGUGUUGACGGUCCUUAAUGCUCACAUUUAACCGUCAACUAAUCAUGGAAAAGGAUCUAAAUGGAACCAACACCUAGACUUAGGGUUUUAUCUGACAGAAUUCCACGAGUUUUGGUGUUUGUCUUUUUGUGCAGGGGGUUAUCAGGAAAUAUGGAAGAAAGGCCCACAUGUCGGGUUUACAUAGAGAUAUUAACGUGCUGCGCAAUUUUCUACCAUCUAGAAGACUCCAGAAGCCACGGGAACAAAGCGGAAACCGAGAGGACUCAAGGACAGGGCGCCCGCCCUCACAUAGAGUCCAAUCAGGACUCUCUUUCGGGAUAUUGCUCCACCGACCUAAAGGAUCAAGGAAAACUGUGUGAUUAAUGUCAGUUUGAUCCAACGGCCCAUAUUCACUUGAAGGGACUAUAAAACCAGACCCCCUGGCACCUGGAGAUCAUACCUUUUCUACAGAAUCAAAGUUAGGGUUUCAAUUCUUCAUCCAAGUAGAGAGGAUCCCUUUAGUUCUAAUUAGUUCUAGUUGUAAUCUAGAAAAUAGGGAGAGAGAAGAGGAGAGCAGAGGAGGAGUCGGAUCUGUCGGAUCUUCCUCAACAUUGUACUUUUGCAGCAAUUGGUUCGUUCUUCUUCGUUCUCCAGGUUCUUCAAUUCACAAUUCCUGAGUUUUUUAAUUACUUUUAUUUACAUUCAAGUUAUUUAUUGGAUUCCCGCAUGCAUCAAGUGCUCUAAACUUUGAAACAUUAGAGUAGUAGUUAAUAGAUUAGACGUGGUGUUUAGUCUUGCAAUUACCUGGAAUUGCACCCAAUCCUGUGGAUUGUUGUGGUAGCCUUAGGGUAGUGACAGCCCUAACGGUCGACGUAUUCCACCUCGUUCGGAUCGGUGUUUGUAGGACUAUAGUCAGACCUUCCUAGCCCCCUUCUCAUCUCUUUCUGUGGUUAGUGCUCUGAUGUCCCGAAAUAGAUAAUCUUGAAGUAAUUCUUGAUUCUCAGAUCAACUAGAGAACUCUCAGGAAACUUCCUCUCUUCCCACCAAAAAUAAUUAUAUAGUUAUCCUUGGGCAAUCUUGGAUCUUAAUUAGUACACUCAUGUUCUCUGUGGAAAAUCGAUACUCUGGAAUACUCCCAGGUGAAAGCUUCAUCGGUAUCCGUGCGCUUGCUGAUUUUUCUGUUUGCGUUUAAAAUACCCAACAAGCUUUCUGGCGCCGUUGCCGGGGAACGGUAGCUGUGCUAGUUUCGAACCAAGUCGUCCGUGUAUCCUUUUUCUUUUCCUUUUUUACCACACUCACCUUAUCAUUUUCACCAUACCACAUGGAUUUCACUCUAAGCAUUAAUGAGCAUGGAAUUUAUUUCAUAGCCACUUCAUUUACUCCAUGCUCAUUUGCAACAUCUUCCCAAUCCAUUGGUUUUUCCAACAUCACCACAUUCGAGAUCUCCAUCCCCCUCAUCCUUUCUAUUUAUAAAAACUUUAAAAGGGCGGUUGUCGAUGCAUUUGUCUAUAUUAAAUAUUGCAGAUCUCGUUGAGUUGAUCUUGAUAUAGGUCAGUGUUGGAGGGGAAACCACUUCGCCGACAUAAAUUGAUGGUUUCCCAAGGACAAGCUUAGUGUCUUAAAAAAAGCACUGAUCAGAUUGUAACAUGAGCUUUUAAUUAUUUGCAAUAUUACCUUGUGUGUUGAGCAUAUAAGGAUAAUUGUAAAAAUAUUCCUUCGGGUAUUCUUGUCACUAACCUAUCCAGGAUUGGAGCAAGAAGAUCUUAUGAAUGACAAGCACAAGGUAUGUCCAACCAAUCAUCAUACAACAUUGAAUUAAAUUCAUCCAAACUUGAAUUUUGCAAAAUUCAAGCUUGGGGGAGUACUUUACAUAAAAUCAUCAUUUGCCAUGUUGCUAUGUUGGUUGUCCCUACCUUUGAGACAUGCUCAAUUUGUUAAAUACUAAUCACACUACUUCAUUUGCACUUGAGUAGAUCUCUAUAAAUGCUCUCAUGCUACCUUUAUUUGCUUUAGUAUAUGUCUAGGUUUGGAGUAGUUUCAUUUAUCUCUUAAUUAAGCAUGGUGCUUAGUUUAGGAAUGAUGAUCUUACUUCCAAAGGAUUUUAAAUUAAGCAUGGUGCUUAGGUUAAAAUGCCCUCCUAAAUCAAAUUAGACAUGGUGUCUAGGUUGAUAUUUGAGCCAAUAGUAUGCUAUAGUAGAUAUUGGAUAUUUUGUUGGACUAACCCCUGCAGGAAAACUUUCAAUAUCGACCAGGGAAGUCCUGAGAUAAACUCACAUUGGAGACAAAGAGAGAGACACAUGAAGUUUAACAAUUUACACAAGGAAGGCAUAGCUCAUAUGAGAUGAUCCAUGGAGGGUGCCACAAACACGAUGCACAACCGCUAAGAAAGGAAAGCUUCCACAAGGUAAUAUUGUACCAUCACUCUUCAAGUAAGGUAACAUCUUAAAGUACUUGACUAUCACUUUUAUAAGCUUCUCCUUGGUUCUGGCGUUCACAUGAAUAAAAGAGACAAACAUGUAUGAUUUACAACUCUAGAUUAACCAACCCAGUCGAUUCAAUAUGUUUAGUCCUUCCACCUUUGUGAUCCCACACUCCUAAUCAUAUGAACUAAAUUGUUGCAUACUCAAUCUUUGGAAGAUACAUAUAAAAAACAUAAGUAUAGAUAGAUUAUCAUUCCAUUAGGUUGAGCAAACUGAUCUGACAAUGUUUUAAAUGCUACACUCAUGAUCUUAUUAUCCAUCAACAUUGUCUUGCUCACUAUUCUUAAGGUUAGAGAAGAACAAAUACACUUUUGGUUCUGUUGGUGUUUUCCACCAACAGGGCUCAUGCACUUGAUCUCUGCCUUGUCUCUAUGAGCAGGUACACUUCGAGCAAAAAUAUGAAGGACUUUUACAACUCCCAGACUCCACCAAGUGAAGAACCUAGAUCUUCGAGCUCAAACACACUGGAGAUACUGGACACUCAGGCAAUCACAGCCCUAAGAUGCUUAAGGACGUAACUUAUGGAGUAACCCUGUUGUGGAGGUAAUUACUGACCUUCUGCCAGUCAAGAGAGGUGAUCCAGGAUGCCCCAUCAUCCCGAUCUCCAUCGGCAUGGUGGACUUCCCAGAAGCACUCUACGACUUUGGCUCCAGCGUCAACAUUAUGCCCAGGGUACUCUAUGAAAAAUUCUUUACACAUCCUUUAUUAGAAACAACCAUGUGUUUGUAGCUUGCAGAUCGUACGCUAAGUUUCCCAAAGGGAAUAUUGAAGAACCUCUGCGUCCGAGUUGGUACCUUGUACGCCCCAGCAGACUUCGUGGUGAUAGAGACUGGUACUGAUGAGAGGGCACCCAUCCUAGGGAGGCCAUUCCUGAACACCUCGGGAGCUAUCAUCUACGCUAGCACUUCCAAGAUCAAUUUCUACAUUAAAGGGAGGAAGGAGGCGUUUUCUUUCAAGAACAAGACUACACAAAUCUCAGAGCAUUCCCGACAUGAACCAAGGAAGAGGACCAACAGGAUGAACAAGAACAAGCAAUUGUCGACCGAGUCAACUAAGAUAGGCACUGCAGUUCAAGGAGGUCAAGAUCAUCGACUUAAGUCACCGUUCCUAACCAAAAAGGAUGACCUAGUCACCUAUCAGCUCCUGUUCGGAACCAUGCCCCUAAAACCGACAUACAUUCAGCUCCAGAUGGCACAUCAGACAUUUUGAAAGGUUGAAGGUUAUUGACAUGGGAGAAGAUGAGUACGAUCCACUCAUCAUUCUUGGGAGACCAUUCCUCAGCACCGUUAAAGCAAUCAUAUACAAUGGAACCAGAGGAGUCCACAUGCAUUUCCCCUCUGAGAAGGUACGCCGCUAUAUAGUUGAAGACUCUAAGCAGGUCAGGACAAGAAGAAGACGACGCAACCAUAACCAGAGGAGGCAAAUCAUCAUGGACGGAUGGGCAGACUAUGAAGGUGAAGUUGUGAGGUCUGAAGACAUACAACUGGACAGAACUGUCCUGAGGAGACCGUAGCACCGAGUCAGGUGUGGAGUGAGAAGAUAGUUAUACAUGAAGAGGAGGCUCCGCCGGAACCACCGACUACACCAUCCAGCGAAUCCCAGGACGACUGAGAAAACGGAGAGUCCCGUUCGGAGGACUUAAAAACACCGAACGCCUUGCCAAGAGGUAAACUUGGUAGUUAUCUUUUUCCUUUCAAUUAUUUUAAAAUAGUUUGCUUAGUUAAUCAGGUUCAUACCAUCUUGAAAAGAAAAUAAAAAUGUUAAAAAUAGUAUGCUCAUGGCAUAAAACCCAUAAGUACAUUCACUAUGGUGGCGUAAAAAUAAAAUAAAUAUAUUCCUAUCCUAUAAAAAUAAAAUUAUAAAAAUAAAUUUGUGAUCCUACCAAAGAGAGUAAUAUUUCUUGAGGAGGCUCAACAUGAUAAAAGCUAGAUAUUUAUGCUAACACUUAACUAGUUCCACAAAGCUUUGUUGUCUACUUGAGCUCCACAGAAUUCAAGGAUCAAAGAAGACUAGCAGACGGAGGACAUCCUAAUCACUGUUAGAGUGCUGCCGACAUUCAAAUACACCUCCGCCACCUGCUAGCUACAUCAGAAGGAAUUACGUCAAAACCCAGCUUGGGGGAGAGCAACCCCAUUUAUCCAGCUAAGUGCCCUACUCAUGUUUAUAUUUUACUCAAAUAAUAAAAAGAUGCAUAAUCAUAAAAACCCAAAUAAAGAUUUUGUGCUUAUAUAUAUAUAUCUUUGCUUAGCUUGCUAAAUAAAUAAAUAAAUAAAGUUUGCUAUGAACCCUCACGAUAAGCUCUCACAUGGAAAUGAUGAAUAGUUGCUCUGCCAUGAUUAGUUCUAAAAAUUGAAAUCUCUCUUAAGUUUAGGCAUGACUGUUAUUAAUUAAGAUUUGCUCUAAACCUGAACUUGUGGGGAGAGUACUUGAUCUAAAGUCUAAGUCGUUAACAGAUACGAUAUGGGAAUGUUAAGCUACUGUUUAUCUAUUCCUAUAGAUGCUAGAAUUCUGGAGAAUUUUUUCUUUGAAAAUCUUUAAAAUAUCACAUGAUAAGAUCCUGUAUGAUGAAAGUUUAAAUUCCUACCACAGCCAUAUAUACAUGCUUGCUAGACUUUGAGCCACACAUUUACUUUUUACUGCUUAUGAGCAUUGAGUGUGGUCAAGCUGUGUAAACCCUUAGGAGCUUGUCAUGUGGUUAAAUCAAGAUUCACUUGCACGUUCACUCAUACAUGCUGCUUCUACUCUGGAAGUACGCAUCCACAUAUAUCGAUCCAUUUCCAUCUCUUGAACCACCCAAAAAUAUUCUACUCCUAAUCAGGGAGAGAAUAGCCAAAAACAUUUCUGUUUUCUUCUGUGAAAUAAAUGCUCAAGUUAUCUUGGUUACUACCACUUGCUAUAUUAUUUCAGGAGAUGAGUGCUCUAAUAAUAAAAAAAGAAAAAAAAGAGAUACGAGGAAUUAAAAAGGGGCAAGUGCCCGGAACCUCGAAGAAAAGAAAAAGUGAGACGAGAGGUAAAAAUGGACAAGUGUCCGACAGUAGAAAUAGGGGUACAAGAUACCCACCUGAGAGAAAAGAAAAAAAAAGAAAAAGAAAAUAUAGAGCAUCUCAUUCUCCUCAAAAAGUUUCAAAAGUGCAAGAAAGGUAUGUAUCCCCUCAAAAGAGCAUAAGUAGAAUUAGACUUUCACCAUUGUAAUCACCAUCAUCACCAUAUACCAUUCAUUCACCACACAUGCACAUCUUGAUUUGACUUAUUGACUUGAUCUUCUGGAUCCAUGGUUUGACUAUGCAAUAAAUGUCUUGUAAGUAUGUAUUAGCUGUCUCCUACCUAUGAGCUCCAAAUAUCAAAACCUUAUUAGAGUAGGGUGAGAGAGAAGUCAAUGCCACUAUGCCUCAUACCAAAAAUAUCACAUACUUUGAGAGAAGGCAUACACCAUUACUGCCCUAGUAAGGAUCCAAAAAUACCACAAAAGAGAGACUAGAGAGGGUUAUACAAGGAAUCUCUGAGUUUUAUUUGAAAAUCUACAAAAACUCCAGAGCUAUAGUUAAUCGAAGAACAUGAGACAUGGCGCUUGACUAGACCGUUCUAUCUUUUAACUACUCAAGACACAAGUGAUGGUUACAAGCCCCAUGGUGGAAGGUAAAAUGGGUAAGUUUUAAAUCUUAAAAGUUUACCAUAGCCCAAAGAUGAGAUUUUGUUUGAACGCAUGUGUACCUUUAAGGCAUGAAACCAAUGCAGAAACUCUUGAGUUCAUCUUUGCUCAGGGACGAGCAAAGGUUAAGCUUGGGGGAGCUUGUUGACGGUCCUUAAUGCUCACAUUUAACCGUCAACUAAUCAUGGAAAAGGAUCUAAAUGGAACCAACACCUAGACUUAGGGUUUUAUCUGACAGAAUUCCGCGAGUUUUGGUGUUUGUCUAUUUCUGCAGGGGAUCAGGAAAUACGGAAGAAAGGCCCACACGUUGGGUUUACAUAGAGAUAUUAACGUGCUGCGCAAUUUUCUACCAUCUAGAAGACUCCAGAAGCCACGGGAACAAAGCGGAAGCCGAGAGGACUCAGGGACAGGGCGCCCGCCCUACUCUCCUGGGCGCCCGCCCUCACAUAGAGUCCAAUCAGGACUCUCUUUCGGGAUAUUGCUCCACCGACCUAAAGGAUCAAGGAAAACCAUGUGAUUAAUGUCGGUUUGAUCCAACGGCCCAUAUUUACUUGAAGGGACUAUAAAACCAGACCCCCUGGCCCCUGGAGAUCAUACCUCUUCUACAGAAUCAAAGUUAGGGUUUCAAUUCUUCAUCCAA
rnacentral:lncRNA from 1 species